rnacentral:rRNA from 1 species
UACGAAGGGACCUAGCGUAGUUCGGAAUUACUGGGCUUAAAGAGUUCGUAGGUGGUUGAAAAAGUUAGUGGUGAAAUCCCAGAGCUUAACUCUGGAACUGCCAUUAAAACUUUUCAGCUAGAGUAUGAUAGAGGAAAGCAGAAUUUCUAGUGUAGAGGUGAAAUUCGUAGAUAUUAGAAAGAAUACCAAUUGCGAAGGCAGCUUUCUGGAUCAUUACUGACACUGAGGAACGAAAGCAUGGGUAGCGAAGAGGAUUAGAUACCCUCGUAGUCCAUGCCGUAAACGAUGUGUGUUAGACGUUGGAAAUUUAUUUUCAGUGUCGCAGCGAAAGCGAUAAACACACCGCCUGGGGAGUACGACCGCAAGGUUAAAACUCAAAUGAAUUGACGGGGACCCGCACAAGUAGUGGAGCAUGUGGUUUAAUUCGAAGAUACGCGCAGAACCUUACCAACACUUGACAUGUUCGUCGCGACUCUAAGAGAUUAGAGUUUUCGGUUCGGCCGGACGAAACACAGGUGCUGCAUGGCUGUCGUUAGCUCGUGUCGUGAGAUGUUGGGUUAAGUCCCGCAACGAGCGCAACCCUCACUUUUAGUUGCCAUCAUUAAGUUGGGCACUCUGAAAGAACUGCCAGUGAUAAGCUGGAGGAAGGUGGGGAUGACGUCAAGUCCUCAUGGCCCUUACGUGUUGGGCUACACACGUGCUACAAUGGUAUCUACAACAGGAAGCAAGACUGCGAGGUCAAGCAAAUCCUUAAAAGAUACCUCAGUUCGGAUUGCACUCUGCAACUCGAGUGCAUGAAGCUGGAAUUACUAGUAAUCGUGGAUCAGCGUGCCACGGUGAAUGCGUUCCCGGGUCU